GUUGAACGCUGGCGGCAGGCCUAACACAUGCAAGUCGAGCGAGCGGCGGACGGGUGAGUAAUGUAUGGGGAACUGCCCGAUGGAGGGGGAUAACUACUGGAAACGGUGGCUAAUAACGCAUACUAUCGGAUGAACCCAUAUGGGAUUAGGUAGUAGGUGGGGUAAAGGCUCACCUAGGCGACGAUCUCUAGCUGGUCUGAGAGGAUGAUCGGCCAAACGGGGACUGAGACACGGCCCAUACUCCUACGGGAGGCAGCAGUGGGGAAUAUUGCACAAUGGUGUCAAGCCUGAUGCAGCCAUGCCGCGUGUAUGAAGAAGGCCUUAGGGUUUUAAAGUCCUUUCAGCGGGGAGGCGUUACCCGCAGAAGAAGCACCGGCUAACUCCGUGCCAGCAGCCGCGGUAAUUC
rnacentral:rRNA from 1 species